rnacentral:misc_RNA from 1 species
GUGAAGAACGUAGCGAAAUGCGAUAAGUAAUGUGAAUUGCAGAAUUCAGUGAAUCAUCGAAUCUUUGAACGCACAUUGCGCCCGCCAGUAUUCUGGCGGGCAUGCCUGUUCGAGCGUCAUUUCAACCAUCAAGCCCCCGGGCUUGUGUUGGGGACCUGCGGCUGCCGCAGGCCCUGAAAACCAGUGGCGGGCUCGCUAGUCACUCCGAGCGUAGUAGUUACAUCUCGCUCAGGGCGUGCUGCGGGUUCCGGCCGUUAAAAGCCUUUUACCCCAAGGUUGACCUCGGAUCAGGUAGGAAGACCCGCUGAACUUAAGCAUAUCAAUAAGCGGAGGA